GACGAACGCUGGCGGCGUGCUUAACACAUGCAAGUCGAACGGAAAGGCCCUGCUUUUGUGGGGUGCUCGAGUGGCGAACGGGUGAGUAACACGUGAGUAACCUGCCCUUGACUUUGGGAUAACUUCAGGAAACUGGGGCUAAUACCGGAUAGGAGCUCCUGCUGCAUGGUGGGGGUUGGAAAGUUUCGGCGGUUGGGGAUGGACUCGCGGCUUAUCAGCUUGUUGGUGGGGUAGUGGCUUACCAAGGCUUUGACGGGUAGCCGGCCUGAGAGGGUGACCGGGCACAUUAGGCCUGAGAUACGGACCAGACUCGUACGGGAGGCAGCAGUGGGGAAUAUUGCACAAUGAGCGGAAGCCUGAUGCAGCAGCGCCGCGUGCGGGAUGACGGCCUUCGGGUUGUAAACCGCUUUCGCCUGUGACGAAGCGUGAGUGACGGUAAUGGGUAAAGAAGCACCGGCUAACUACGUG
rnacentral:rRNA from 1 species